GAAGUGGUUGAUACCAUGCUUCCAAGAAAAGCUCCUAAGCUUCAGAUAACUGGGAACCGUACCCCAAACCGACACAGGUGGUUAGGUAGAGAAUACCAAGGCGCUUGAGAGAACUCGGGUGAAGGAACUAGGCAAAAUGGCACCGUAACUUCGGGAGAAGGUGCGCCGGCGAAGGUGAAGGGCUUGCCCCGUAAGCUUUUGCUGGUCGAAGAUACCAGGCCGCUGCGACUGUUUAUUAAAAACACAGCACUCUGCAAACACGAAAGUGGACGUAUAGGGUGUGACGCCUGCCCGGUGCCGGAAGGUUAAUUGAUGGGGUUAGCGCAAGCGAAGCUCUUGAUCGAAGCCCCGGUAAACGGCGGCCGUAACUAUAACGGUCCUAAGGUAGCGAAAUUCCUUGUCGGGUAAGUUCCGACCUGCACGAAUGGCGUAACGAUGGCGGCGCUGUCUCCACCCGAGACUCAGUGAAAUUGAAAUCGCUGUGAAGAUGCAGUGUAUCCGCGGCUAGACGGAAAGACCCCGUGAACCUUUACUAUAGCUUUGCACUGGACUUUGAAUUUGCUUGUGUAGGAUAGGUGGGAGGCUUUGAAGUGGGGACGCCAGUUCUCAUGGAGCCAUCCUUGAAAUACCACCCUGGCAACUUUGAGGUUCUAACUCAGGUCCGUUAUCCGGAUCGAGGACAGUGUAUGGUGGGUAGUUUGACUGGGGCGGUCUCCUCCCAAAGAGUAACGGAGGAGUACGAAGGUGCGCUCAGACCGGUCGGAAAUCGGUCGUAGAGUAUAAAGGCAAAAGCGCGCUUGACUGCGAGACACACACGUCGAGCAGGUACGAAAGUAGGUCUUAGUGAUCCGGUGGUUCUGUAUGGAAGGGCCAUCGCUCAACGGAUAAAAGGUACUCCGGGGAUAACAGGCUGAUACCGCCCAAGAGUUCAUAUCGACGGCGGUGUUUGGCACCUCGAUGUCGGCUCAUCACAUCCUGGGGCUGAAGCCGGUCCCAAGGGUAUGGCUGUUCGCCAUUUAAAGUGGUACGCGAGCUGGGUUUAGAACGUCGUGAGACAGUUCGGUCCCUAUCUGCCGUGGACGUUUGAGAUUUGAGAGGGGCUGCUCCUAGUACGAGAGGACCGGAGUGGACGAACCUCUGGUGUUCCGGUUGUCACGCCAGUGGCAUUGCCGGGUAGCUAUGUUCGGAAGAGAUAACCGCUGAAAGCAUCUAAGCGGGAAACUUGCCUCAAGAUGAGAUCUCACUGGGAUCUUGAAUCCCCUAAAGGGCCGUCGAAGACUACGACGUUGAUAGGUUGGGUGUGUAAGCGCUGUGAGGCGUUGAGCUAACCAAUACUAAUUGCCCGUGAGGCUUGACCA
rnacentral:rRNA from 2 species